GGCCUCGUAGCUCAGCUGGUAGAGCAUGCGCGUACAAAGCGUAGGCGGUGUCCAUGCGUGGGUUCGAAUCCAACCGAGGCCA
rnacentral:tRNA from 1 species